rnacentral:rRNA from 1 species
AAUAGAUACCCGGGUAGUCCACGCCGUAAACGAUGAGUGCUAAGUGUUAGGGGGUUUCCGCCCCUUAGUGCUGCAGCUAACGCAUUAAGCACUCCGCCUGGGGAGUACGGUCGCAAGACUGAAACUCAAAGGAAUUGACGGGGGCCCGCACAAGCGGUGGAGCAUGUGGUUUAAUUCGAAGCAACGCGAAGAACCUUACCAGGUCUUGACAUCCCAUUGACCGCUAUGGAGACAUGGCUUUCCCUUCGGGGACAGUGGUGACAGGUGGUGCAUGGUUGUCGUCAGCUCGUGUCGUGAGAUGUUGGGUUAAGUCCCGCAACGAGCGCAACCCUUGUUCUUAGUUGCCAUCAUUUAGUUGGGCACUCUAAGGAGACUGCCGGUGACAAACCGGAGGAAGGUGGGGAUGACGUCAAAUCAUCAUGCCCCUUAUGACCUGGGCUACACACGUGCUACAAUGGACGGUACAAACGGUUGCCAACCCGCGAGGGGAGCUAAUCCGAUAAAACCGUUCUCAGUUCGGAUUGUAGGCUGCAACUCGCCUAC